CGCUGAUCUUGUGUUGACUGCUUCAUCAGACAAGACAGUCCGUAUCUGGGGAAGUUCUGAGGAUGGGAACUAUUCGUGUAGA